AGAGUUGAUCCCUGGCUCAGGAUGAACGCUAGCGGCAGGCUUAACACAUGCAAGUCGAGGGGCAUCACGAGUAGCAAUACUUGGUGGCGACCGGCGCAAGGGUGCGUAACGCGUGAGCAACAUGCCCGUAUCAGGGGGAUAAUCCAGGGAAACUUGGUCUAAUACCCCAUAGCAAUUGAAGGAGGCAUCUUCUUUGAUUUAAAGCUUUGGUGGAUACGGAUUGGCUCGCGUGACAUUAGCUAGAUGGUAAGGUAACGGCUUACCAUGGCUACGAUGUCUAGGGGUUCUGAGAGGAAGGUCCCCCACACUGGAACUGAGACACGGUCCAGACUCCUACGGGAGGCAGCAGUGAGGAAUAUUGGACAAUGGAUGGAAAUCUGAUCCAGCCAUGCCGCGUGCAGGAAGACGGCCCUAUGGGUUGUAAACUGCUUUUAUAUGGGAGCAAUAAGACCUACGUGUAGGUCGAUGAGAGUACCAUAUGAAUAAGCACCGGCUAACUCCGUGCCAGCAGCCGCGGUAAUACGGAGGGUGCAAGCGUUAUCCGGAUUUAUUGGGUUUAAAGGGUGCGUAGGCGGUUUGAUAAGUCAGCGGUGAAAUAUUUCAGCUUAACUGGAAGGGUGCCGUUGAUACUGUCGAGCUUGAAUUUAGUUGCUGUGGGUGGAAUGUGUGGUGUAGCGGUGAAAUGCAUAGAUAUCACACAGAAUAUCGAUUGCGAAGGCAGCUCACAAAGCUAAUAUUGACGCUGAUGCACGAAAGUGUGGGGAUCAAACAGGAUUAGAUACCCUGGUAGUCCACACUGUAAACGAUGAUAACUCGCUGUCGGCGAUACACAGUCGGUGGCCAAGCGAAAGCGAUAAGUUAUCCACCUGGGGAGUACGACCGCAAGGUUGAAACUCAAAGGAAUUGACGG
rnacentral:rRNA from 1 species